UUCUCAUCGAAUUUCCAAACCCAAGUCUGAAACACAGCAAUCUCAAGCAGUGUGGGCUGAAAAAUGUCCUCACCCAGAGCUGAGGGAUUAUUCACGUCCAAUCUCCAAACCUGAGUCUCUACCACACCAAUCUCAACCAGGUA